UACGGAGGGUGCAAGCGUUGUCCGGAUUUAUUGGGUUUAAAGGGUGCGUAGGCGGCCCUGCAAGUCCGUGGUGAAAGCCUGCCGCUUAACGGCAGAACUGCCAUGGAUACUACAGGGCUUGAGUCCAGACGAGGUUGGCGGAAUGGAUGGUGUAGCGGUGAAAUGCAUAGAUACCAUCCAGAACCCCGAUUGCGUAGGCAGCUGACUAGGCUGGUACUGACGCUGAGGCACGAAAGCGUGGGGAGCGAACAGG
rnacentral:rRNA from 1 species